CCCCUUGUAGCCCAAUGCAGAGGCACUUGCCUCAGAAGCAAGUCAGUGCGGGUGCGACUCCUGCCAAGGGGACCA
rnacentral:tRNA from 1 species